GACGAACGCUGGCGGCAUGCCUAAUACGUGCAAGUCGAGCGGAGUUAUGAUGGAGCUUGCUCCUGAUUAACUUAGCGGCGGACGGGUGAGUAACACGUAGGCAACCUGCCCUCAAGACUGGGAUAACUACCGGAAACGGUAGCUAAUACCGGAUAAUUUCUUUCCUCUCCUGAAGAGAGAAUGAAAGGCGGAGCAAUCUGCUGCUUGGGGAUGGGCCUGCGGCGCAUUAGCUAGUUGGUGGGGUAAUGGCUCACCAAGUCGACGAUCGGUAGCCGGACUGAGAGGUUGAACGGCCACAUUGGGACUGAGACACGGCCCAG
rnacentral:rRNA from 1 species